GCGCUGCGCAAUCACAGUGAUCAUACAAUGCGCAGUAAUCAUAAUACUUCACAUAGGAACAUGAACCAGAAAGAAACACCCGUUUUUCAGCGAGUGGGAACUCGGAAACAUUCAUGCCGCCCAUGUCAAGCAGAUCAUGACGUACUUUUCUCAAGAGAGACUACAAUACCUUACUCAUGGAGAGACAGCCACCCAGCCAUCCAGGUCUGCAAAAAUCAGUGAGCAAUAACCCAGUUUCACUGCACAAUGCAGUGCAGCACAAUACCCCACUUUGGAGUCGUUUGGACGCAACGAUUCAUACCUUCCCUCUUUUGCCCUGGGCGUUUCUAGGAUGUGGCUGGUAAAAUGUCUACUUCAGCACACACCAGCCCAGCUUUAAUAUCAUUUGCUUUCAAAAUUCUGUAUGUUUAUGAUAAUGAUAAUAAUGUUUAUUAUGAGCAGGGGGAUUCAUCUGGAGGAUAUGAUUUUACAUACUUUCAUCUUGCGGCAGAUGUUAUUGAAAAACAUGAAUAAAUUCUUCAGAAAUGUAAUGUGACAAAUAUGGAAUAUGUUUUACAGAAAUAUCAGUGCAUAACAGUUUAUGUCUAAAUUUGAAUAUAAAAUAAUGUUUAGGAUUAUUUCUCCAUUACAUUGAGGUAUGGUUACCUCACAGACAUUUGUUCUUGUCCAUAGUGUAAUAUUUGUUCCACCUGAACAUCUAUAUAGAUGAGUACUGAACAAUAAUAUAAAAGAUAACUAUCUUCUCAGUAGCAUUUCAUGAAGCAUGCAUGAAAGGUGUUGUGAACCAUACUGGCAAAAUCAUGCCUGCCACCACCUAUAUCAUCACCCUGCCACCACCUAUUCCAACCCUUCCAGUGACGCAACUUAUGGUCAUCAAAACCGGAAAAAGCAGAUAAAAUGACAGCUUUUUCCUCAGGGCUGUGGAUUCUUUGCACUCUAGCCUAAAGCCUAUAACCUAGCAAACCCCUUUAUAAAUUUGUUGCUUGCGUAUUCUAUAUCAUCCCAGCUAGAACCAUGUAUCACAGCCCAUAUGUGUCCCCAGACCUUAGCCAUACGUACAUAUUCAGUUCAUGUUUUUUA